rnacentral:lncRNA from 1 species
AAGUCAAUUAACAACUAUCCAAUUUAAUGAGAUUUAUUAAGAAAAAAAUGAUAAUACAACUGCUUUUAUACAAGAAUUUCCCAAGAUUUGGUAGUAUAAAUCAUGAGUUUCUAAAAUUUAGAGUUUACAAAGCUAGUAUGAAAUAAAUACAUCAUUUGUCCGAAUGUACAUAAACAGAUUUUCGUAAGUCUAGGGCUACCAUGAACAAGAGGCAGUUAUAACUGGAACGCAUGUAUGUCUUCAAUGAUAGCUUCCAUCAAACACAGCAACAUCAACGUCCAAAAUCUGUGCGCAAGGUGCAGAAGUAUAAUAUGAGUAAAACCGACCCUGUGUACUCAAUAAGUAACAAACCUAACUUUAGGUUGAAAGUAGUGACGAGUUGGGAUAAAAGUCAAAGUUCAACAACAGCUCAUAACAAUAUAAUAAAAGUGGUACAGGAAAUAACUCAGAGAGGUAAUGUUCAACUCAUUUACAGUUCCGAAAAAUAGGCAUACUUUUCAAGUAUAACAGUGAAAACCCAAAUCUUUUACCGAAAGUACCAAAAUAUGAGUAAGUUUGUAAAAUCGCGAUUUUCUUUCCAAAAUUUUUCAACAUGUAAACGUUUCAUUAUCAAAUGGCAUGAGGAAAAGUACAUCUUUAUGCCUACAUGUCAAUGUGUAUGAGAAGUCAUGAAUGACGUGAUACCGUACAACAUGUGAAAAAAUACAUCUCUAUGCAUGUAUUGUCAUGUGUGCAUGUCGAAUGCAGUACAACAUAGUGAAUAAUCAUAUGCAUACUCUCAGAGUAUCAAUCCACUCAGUCUUCUCAGUCCACCCAAUCACUCGGCACUCACGCUCGGCACUUGCACUCAAUAGGUACCUGCGCUCACUAUAGGUGUGCAGACUCUGGAGGGGCUCCUUCAGUCCAAGCGCUAUAAUGAGCCAAUCAUGGCAUGAAUCUGCAUGGACAACUCACGUACUGCAGGGACAACUCAUGUACCAUAAUAUCAAUAUCUAGAUCUGCACGGAUAACUCACGUAUUAUGGUAUCAAUAUUUGGAUCCACACGAACAACUUACGUGUUACACGGACAACUCACGUGCCAUGAUAUCAAUAUCUGGAUCCUCACUUACAACUCACGUGCUAUGGUAUCAAUAACCUCACAACCAGGCCCUCGGCCUCACUCAGUCAUCAAUCUCUCCAGUCUCCCGGGUUCACAAUAUCAUGAAACUAGCCCAAAAUGAUGAUAUGAUGUAUCAAUAAAUAACAACAGAGACUGAGAUAUGAUAUGCAAUGAAUGUAUAUGACUGAGUACAAAAUUAUAAUUUAAACAUAUAAUUCGACAGCAAAAACGACCUCAGUGGGUCCCAUUAAUAGUAGCAUUUGCCUAAGAAUGAUUUCUAACAUGAAUCACGGCUUAGUUUCUCUAACCCAUGAAACAAAUCAAGUUAAUUGACUACAUAGCUCUACCGAAUCCACUGAGUCUCAAUUUUUACGGUGCACGCCCAUCACCUAGCAUGUGCGUCACCUCCAAGCAAAUCACAUAAUAUGUAUAAUCAAGGUUCAUACCCUCAGCUCCAAGUUUAGAAGUGUUACUUACCUCGAACAAGCCAAAUUCAAUACUGAGCAAGCCAAACGAUGCUCCAAAAUACCAUCCCGCGUGUACCGACCUCUGAACGGCUCGAAACUAGCCAAAAGCAACUCAAAUACAUCAAAUAAAGUUUAAGAAAAUAAGUCCAAUUGAUAAAGGUCGUAUAUUUACUCAAAAUCCCAAAAUCAACCAAAAACCAAACCCGGGCCCGUACCUUGGAACCCAAUGAAAUUUAUAAAAUCCGACAACUCAUUCAAUUACGAGUCCAACCAUACUAGUUUCGCUCAAAUCCGACUCCGAAUCAAUAUUCAAAAUUCAAAAACUCACUCUAUAAAACUUUAGGCUAUAACCCUCAAUUUCUUUUUAAACUUCAUCAACCAAUUUUUAAAAAUGAAGAUGGAUUCAUAAAAUAAAAUCAAAGCCAAGCAUAAAACACUUACCCCAAUCCUUGUGAUGAAAUUUGCUUCAAAAAUCGUCUCAAUCCGAGCCCCCAAUCUCAAAAUAUGAUGAAAGGACCAAAACCUCGAAAUAUAUAGAAUCUGCCCGGGCAUCGUCACAUCUGCGACACACUUAGCUGCUCUCUUUUGCGACAAACGUUCCGCUUCUGCAGAGAGGCACUAGAGAAAUGGCCCUCGCACCUGCGGAAAAACGUCCGCUCCUGCGCUCAAAAUCUCGCAUCUGCGCACACGCAGGUGCGCUACAAAAAUUCGCUUCUGUGGUCUUCCUUCUGUUAAUUGAGUCACAUCUCAAUUUCUCAAACACAUGAAAAAUACAUAAAAAAAAAUAUAAGUUAAUUGACUACACAGCUCUACCGAAUCGGCUAAGUCUCAAUUUCUACGGUGCACAUCUGUCACCUAGCAUGUGCGUCACCUCCAAGCAAAUCACAUAACACGUAUAAUCAGGGUUCAUACCCUCAGCUCCAAGUUUAGAAGUGUUACUUACCCCGAACAAGCCAAAUCCAAUACCGAGCAAGCCAAACGAUCCUCCAAAAUACCAUCAUGCGCGUACCAACCUCUGAACGGCUCGAAACUAGCCAAAAGCAACUCAAAUACAUCAAAUAAAGUAUAAGGAAAUAAGUCCAAUUGAUAAAGUCGAAUAUUUACUCAAAAGCCCAAAAUCAACCAAAAACAAACUCGGGCCCGUACCUCGGAACCCAAUGAAACUUAUAAAAUCCGACAACCUAUUCAAUUAUGAGUCCAACCAAACUAGUUUCGCUCAAAUCUGACUCUGAAUCAAUAUUCAAAAUUUAAAAACUCACUCUAUAAAACUUUAGGAUAAAACCCCAAAUUUAUUUUUAAAAUUUAUCAACCAAUUGCCAAAAAUGAAGAUGGAUUCAUAAAAUAAAAUCAAAGCCAAGUAUAAAAUACUUACCCCAAUCCUUGUGAUAAAAUUUGCUUCAUAAAUCGUCUCAAUCCGAGCCCCCAAUCUCAAAAUAUGAUGAAAGGAAAAAAACCUUGAAAUAUAUAGAAUUUGCUCAGGCAUCGUCGCAUCUGUGACACACUUAGCCGCUUCUGCGGCGUCGUUUUUGCGAUAAACGUUCCACUUCUAUAGAGAGGCACUGGAGCAAUGGCCCUUGCACCUACGGAACAAUAUCUGCUCCUGCGACAUCGCAGGUGCGACACAAGGACCCGCAUCUGCGCCAACUCCCGUUCCUGCACUCAAAAUCUUGCAUCUGCGCGCACGCAGGUGCGCUACAAAAAUCCGCUUAUGCGGUUUUCCUUCUGUUAAUUGAGUCACAGCUCAGUUUGUCUAACACAUAAAAAAAUAUAUGAAAUAAUACAAGUUAAUUGACUACACAACUCUAACAAAUCGACUGAGUCUCAAUUUCUACCGUGCACGCCCGUCACCUAACAUGUGCGUCACCUCCAAGAAAAUCACAUAACACGUAUAAUCAGAGUUCAUACCCUCAACUCCAUGUUUAGAAGUAUUACUUACCUCGAACAAGCCAAAUCCAAUACCAAGCAAGCCAAACGAUGCUCCAAAAUAUCAUCCCGUGCGUACCGACCUCUGAAUGGCUUGAAACUAGCCAAAAGCAACUCAAAUACAUCAAAUAAAGUCUAAGGAAAUAAGUCAAAUUAAUAAAGGUUGAAUAUUUACUCAAAAGCACAAAAUCAACCAAAAACCAAACCCGGACCUGCACCUCGGAACCCGAUGAAACUUAUAAAAUCCGACAACCCAUUCAAUUACGAGUCCAACCAUACUAGUUUCGCUCAAAUUCGACUCAGAGUCGAUAUUCAAAAUUUAAAGGCUCACUCUAUGAAACUUUAGGCUAAAACCCCCAAUUUCUCUUUAAAAUUCAUCAACCAAUUGCCAAAAAUGAAGAUGGAUUCAUAAAAUAAAAUCAAAUUCAAGUAUAAAACACUUACUCCAAUCCUUGUGAUGAAAUUUGAUUCAAAAAUCGUCUCAAUCCGAGUCUCCAAUCUCAAAAUAUGAUAAAUGGAUCAAAACCUCAAAAUAUAUAGAAUCUGACGAGGCAUCGUCGCAUCUGCGACACAUUUAGCCGCUUCUGCAGCGUCGCUUUUGCGACAAACGUUCCGCUUUUGCAGAGUGGCACUAUAGAAAUAGCCCUCGCACCUGUGGAAAAAUAUCCGCUCCUGCGACAUCGCAGGUGCAACACAAGGACCCGCAUCUGCGCCAACUCCCGCUCCUAUGCUCAAAAUCUCGAAUCUGCGCGCACGCAGGUGCGCUACAAAAAUCCGCUUUUGCGGUCUUCCUCACCUAUAAUAUAAUACGGACCUACUCGAGGCCUCAAAUUACUCAUAACAAUAUCGAAACGAUGAAUCACACCUCAAUUCGAACUUGAAUGAAUUUUGAACUUUCAACUUCCAAAACGCGCGCCGAAACAUAUCAAAUCAACCCGAAAUGAACCCAACUUUUGCAAACAAGUCCCAAAUAACAUAACGAAACUAUUCAAGUUCCCAGAACUACAAUCCGAAUCCGAUAUCAUCAAAGUCAACUUCCGGUCAAACUUAUGAACUUUCCAAACCUUCAAAUUUCCAACUUUCGCCAAUUAGCGCCGAAUACUUCUAGAAUUAUCCAACGCUCAAAACGACCGGUCGGAUCGUUACAGCUUUUACAAUUUGUUAAAUUCAAAACCCGUUAUCAGCUUUCUCAACAUAUGCUUCUUUUUUCUGGAGGUCAUUAUUACUAUUUUUCAAAUUCAUGUUCAUCAUAUACAUGAGCUUUUGCUCCCUUCAGUUUAUCUUCUGAAUUGGAAUAUACUUAAACUGUCAAGUUUCUCAUUCUUCUUUCACAUUUGACCUUUUCUUGUUCCCAGAAAUAUCAUCAUAUUCAUUUUUAUUAGUCUAUUCAAGUUAGGACUCACAUCAUCUUCAAAUGUCGAUGUAGCUAUUCAAGAAAUAUAAGAAAUCAAAUAGCUUACUAAGAUAGUUUUUUCUUUGUUUUUUGGGACAAAGGCUUGCUAAGAUAAGCACUAAAGAGAUGAAAUACACGUAAACAUCCUCCUAUACUGACUGAAGGAUGGAUAAAGAAGAAAACUUACUCUUUUUCUAUAAUGAAAUGAGUGACAAUACCUGAAUGGAAUGUUCACUGUGAAAACCCAAAAGUGCCUCCGCUACAAGUUUUGAAAAAACAUUUUAUCCUGAAAUUCAAAGAGAAGUGUAAAAGUAAUAUGAAUGUAGAAAGUAGUAGCCGCGAGAAGAAGUCUAAUUCAACAAUUAUUAUUUUAAACUUCCGGUGUCUAAGCCUUUCACUUGACUUAUUGACUUCUUUGGAAAUUGUUUGUCUAUGCAUGUGAAGAACUUAAAACAUAGUUCAAGACAUAUUUGUUUAGAAUCAUUGGACCAUCCUUUUAAAUUUCAAACAGGGCUUUAAUCGAAUAAAGUGUUAUAAAAAGAAAAGCAAUCUCUAAACUUGAAAGCAAACAGUAGGCCAGUACUUUAGGAAACAGGAACACCUAAUAGAUGCUAUUAUAUUCCAAUAAAUAUGCUCUUAAGAAUGGAUUAGAGAAGAUGUCAGCACAGUUGGAAAAAACAAACAGGAGAGGGGGAAGAAACAAACAGCAAUUACCACAAAAUAAAAGAGAACCCGCCAUUUUUAGAGCAAAGAUGCGUAACACUCUAACUACCUCAAUUUUCGAGGUAAAAUAAUUACUCCGCAAAUAAAGCGAAAUGCAAAAAACCAACGUUGACGCUUCCACAUGGGAGAAACUUUCUCUGGUGAAAUCAACUAAAUAUUAAGCAUGAAGCAGGAUGAGAAAAGAAAACAAUGAAGAAGCUGAGAGAGAACGUCGCAGGUUUUGUGAAGACAAUUCUCGUCACUCAAUUUUCUUAGCUGAGUCAACUGAUUCAGUUAAUAUUUAUUUCCAAUGUACUUGGAGUUUUUGAUUCUUCAUGAAUUCAAUUUUUUCCGCAAGUAUUUCUAAUUCUUGCAUAUAAAAGGAUAUGUUUAAGGCCUUAAGUCUCAAAAUAUAUGACUGAAAAUAUUUUUGAGGGUAUUUAAUUGUUAAUUCUAAGGCUCCAAUGCUAUUCAGCCAAUUGGUCAAACAUAUGACAUGCAAUUACAAGAAAAUAUAUGAAAGAGCGAUAUGAAUUAGCCAUCUCAAUGCAAUUAGAGCAAAGUAAUCAUAGCAACCCUUCACCAAUUUUACACAACCAUCAAAACAGUCCAAAAUAAGAAGAAAAACAAAAGAUAUCUAUCAAAAUCUCAUCACCAAGACACAAGUAAAACAAAUAAAGGAAAAAGAGAACAAAGGCCAAAAACACAAAGAGCGAAACUGUAAAAACCAACAUAUAUCAUCACAAUUCCAUUACUAAGAAACUCCACAGAAUUCACAUUUAUGAUAAACCCCAAAACCAAAGAGCAAAUGAAAGAAUGUAGAAAUCAAGUAGAAGCUAAUGGCCAUAGUGAACAAGAAACUAAGGAAAAGAUGGAAUAGAGUAAUAAUCGAGCAGAAAGACUUAAGAUUAAACUCAAAUUUCAACUCAAAAAGGGAUUAUCACCUGAUUUUUGCUCUUUCUCGGUGCAACGCUUUGAUAAUGGUGAAUUGUUGCUGUACUGCCUUUUCUCCGUGCAUGCCUAGAAAAUUCCAGAUUGAUAUAUUGAGUAGAAAGAGAGAAAAGGGAAAGAGAUGCAAACCUAUAACAAUCACAAGUAGACUUAUC